rnacentral:pre_miRNA from 1 species
CAACUACUCCCUCUGUCCCAAAUUUCUUGUCUUAGAUUUGUCUAGAUACAGAUGUAUCUGUGACUUGAUACAUCCGUAUCUAGACAAAUAUAAGACAGGAAUUUUGGGACGGAGGGAGUACUAU